GAAGUGUUAGGAUACUUAAUCCGGUAGGUUGUGGGUCUAAGAAUAUACUAUAUACACUUUA
rnacentral:tRNA from 1 species